GGCGAGUGGCGAACGGGUGAGUAAUACAUCGGAACGUGCCCUGUAGUGGGGGAUAACUAGUCGAAAGAUUAGCUAAUACCGCAUACGACCUGAGGGUGAAAGUGGGGGACCGCAAGGCCUCAUGCUAUAGGAGCGGCCGAUGUCUGAUUAGCUAGUUGGUGAGGUAAAGGCUCACCAAGGCGACGAUCAGUAGCUGGUCUGAGAGGACGAUCAGCCACACUGGGACUGAGACACGGCCCAGACUCCUACGGGAGGCAGCAGUGGGGAAUUUUGGACAAUGGGCGAAAGCCUGAUCCAGCAAUGCCGCGUGUGUGAAGAAGGCCUUCGGGUUGUAAAGCACUUUUGUCCGGAAAGAAAUGGCUCUGGUUAAUACCUGGGGUCGAUGACGGUACCGGAAGAAUAAGGACCGGCUAACUACGUGCCAGCAGCCGCGGUAAUACGUAGGGUCCAAGCGUUAAUCGGAAUUACUGGGCGUAAAGCGUGCGCAGGCGGUUGUGCAAGACCGAUGUGAAAUCCCCGAGCUUAACUUGGGAAUUGCAUUGGUGACUGCACGGCUAGAGUGUGUCAGAGGGGGGUAGAAUUCCACGUGUAGCAGUGAAAUGCGUAGAGAUGUGGAGGAAUACCGAUGGCGAAG
rnacentral:rRNA from 1 species